rnacentral:rRNA from 1 species
AAUGAGACUGCCGGUGGACAAACCGGAGGAAGUGGGGAUGACGUCAAGUCCUCAUGGCCCUUAUGGGUAGGGCUUCACACGUCAUACAAUGGUCGGUACAGAGGGUUGCCAAGCCGCGAGGUGGAGCCAAUCCCUUAAAGCCGAUCGUAGUCCGGAUCGUAGUCUGCAACUCGACUACGUGAAGUCGGAAUCGCUAGUAAUCGUGGAUCAGAAUGUCACGGUGAAUACGUUCCCGGGUCUU